AGACCCGAAACCCGGUGAUCUAGCCAUGGGCAGGUUGAAGGUUGGGUAACACUAACUGGAGGACCGAACCGACUAAUGUUGAAAAAUUAGCGGAUGACCUGUGGCUGGGGGUGAAAGGCCAAUCAAACCGGGAGAUAGCUGGUUCUCCCCGAAAGCUAUUUAGGUAGCGCCUCGUGAAUUCAUCUCCGGGGGUAGAGCACUGUUUCGGCUAGGGGGCCAUCCCGGCUUACCAACCCGAUGCAAACUGCGAAUACCGGAGAAUGUUAUCACGGGAGACACACGGCGGGUGCUAACGUCCGUCGUGAAGAGGGAAACAACCCAGACCGCCAGCUAAGGUCCCAAAGUCAUGGUUAAGUGGGAAACGAUGUGGGAAGGCCCAGACAGCCAGGAUGUUGGCUUAGAAGCAGCCAUCAUUUAAAGAAAGCGUAAUAGCUCACUGGUCGAGUCGGCCUGCGCGGAAGAUGUAACGGGGCUAAACCAUGCACCGAAGCUGCGGCAGCGACACUCAGGUGUUGUUGGGUAGGGGAGCGUUCUGUAAGCCUGUGAAGGUGGCCUGUGAGGGUUGCUGGAGGUAUCAGAAGUGCGAAUGCUGACAUAAGUAACGAUAAAGCGGGUGAAAAGCCCGCUCGCCGGAAGACCAAGGGUUCCUGUCCAACGUUAAUCGGGGCAGGGUGAGUCGACCCCUAAGGCGAGGCCGAAAGGCGUAGUCGAUGGGAAACGGGUUAAUAUUCCCGUACUUGGUGUUACUGCGAAGGGGGGACGGAGAAGGCUAUGUUGGCCGGGCGACGGUUGUCCCGGUUUAAGCGUGUAGGUGUGUGUUCCAGGUAAAUCCGGUUCACUUUAACACUGAGGCGUGAUGACGAGGCACUACGGUGCUGAAGCAACAAAUGCCCUGCUUCCAGGAAAAGCCUCUAAGCAUCAGGUAACAUCAAAUCGUACCCCAAACCGACACAGGUGGUCAGGUAGAGAAUACCAAGGCGCUUGAGAGAACUCGGGUGAAGGAACUAGGCAAAAUGGUGCCGUAACUUCGGGAGAAGGCACGCUGACACGUAGGUGAAGUGAUUUACUCA
rnacentral:rRNA from 1 species